AGGUUUUGGGGCUGAAACAGCCUCGGCCUAUUCUCAAACUUUGAAUUGGUAAAGGAUGUUGCUUGUUUUGUGAAAGCAAUGUUUAAACGUGGCGGUCCUAGUGGGCCAUUUUUGGUAAGCAGAACUGGCGAUGCGGGAUGAACCGAAAGAGGCAGUUAAGGAACCGGAGAGGAGGCUCAUUGGACUAAUCAAAAAGGUGUUGGUUUUUUAAGACAGCAGGACGGUGGCCAUGGAAGUCGGAAUCCGCUAAGGAGUGUGUAACAACUCACCUGCCGAAAAGAGUAGCCCUUAAAAUGGAUGGUUUUGUUGCCUUGCUCCCAGACUGCUCUGGCUGCAAAGGAUGAUUUGCAGCCAUGUAGGCGGAUGUGAGGAUUGUGUGGAAGAGUGGUGGUGACGCUGCUUGGAACGGUCCUUAGUACAGAUCUUGGUGGAAGUAGCAACUAUUCAAAAGAGUGACUUGAUACUUUUUGAAGACUGAAAGUGGAGAAAGGUUCCGUGUGAACAGCAGUUGGACACGGGUGAGUCGGUCCUAAGGAGGGUGCCUGAUUGGUUAUUAGAUAAGAUUGGUGGGGUUAUAAUCCACAUACCUCCGAAAGGGAAUUUGGUUAAGAUUCCAAAACCAUGGGGAGCCAAUAUUGUAAGAGUGGUAACACUUUGAUGACGUGAGACGGCCGGGGGUGAUCCAGGAAGAGUUUUUGAUGCUUUUCUUUUUAAUGUGUGGGAGCGCUUGGAAUUGCAUUAUGCAGAGAAGAGGGUUCUUACAGAGAAGAAGUGGCGCAUUUUAGUGCUGCUCUGGAAAUUACGCCAGGUCCCGUGAAAAUCGCGUUGUUUGAUAGGCAAACUAUGGCCGUACUGCAAACCGCAUCAGGUCUCCAAGGUGAAGAGCCUCNAGUGAUAGAAGAAUGUAUGAUAAG
rnacentral:rRNA from 1 species